GGUUUUGUAGUGGAAAAUAAGACGUCAGACUGCAAUUCUGAAGAUGCGUGAAACGCCGGAACUU
rnacentral:tRNA from 1 species